CCGUAGCUAACGCAUUAAGUGCCCCGCCUGGGGAGUACGGCCGCAAGGCUAAAACUCAAAGGAAUUGACGGGGGCCCGCACAAGCGGCGGAGCAUGCGGAUUAAUUCGAUGCAACGCGAAGAACCUUACCAAGGCUUGACAUGUGCCAGACCGCUCCAGAGAUGGGGUUUCCCUUCGGGGCUGGUUCACAGGUGGUGCAUGGUUGUCGUCAGCUCGUGUCGUGAGAUGUUGGGUUAAGUCCCGCAACGAGCGCAACCCUCGUUCCAUGUUGCCAGCACGUAGUGGUGGGGACUCAUGGGAGACUGCCGGGGUCAACUCGGAGGAAGGUGGGGAUGACGUCAAAUCAUCAUGCCCCUUAUGUCUUGGGCUUCACGCAUGCUACAAUGGCCGGUACAAUGGGUUGCGAUACUGUGAGGUGGAGCUAAUCCCUAAAAGCCGGUCUCAGUUCGGAUUGGGGUCUGCAACUCGACCCCAUGAAGUCGGAGUCGCUAGUAAUCGCAGAUCAGCAACGCUGCGGUGAAUACGUUCCCGGGCCUUGUACACACCGCCCGUCAAGUCACGAAAGUUGGUAACACCCGAAGCCGAUGGCCUAACCACC
rnacentral:rRNA from 1 species